AUUGAACGCUGGCGGCAGGCCUAACACAUGCAAGUCGAGCGGAUGAAGGGAGCUUGCUCCUGGAUUCAGCGGCGGACGGGUGAGUAAUGCCUAGGAAUCUGCCUGGUAGUGGGGGAUAACGUCCGGAAACGGGCGCUAAUACCGCAUACGUCCUGAGGGAGAAAGUGGGGGAUCUUCGGACCUCACGCUCUCAGAUGAGCCUAGGUCGGAUUAGCUAGUUGGUGGGGUAAAGGCCUACCAAGGCGGCGAUCCGUAACUGGUCUGAGAGGAUGAUCAGUCACACUAGAACUGAGACACGGUCCAGACUACUACGGGAGGCAGCAGUGGGGAAUAUUGGACAAAGGGCGAAAGCCUGAUCCAGUCAGGCCGCGUGUGUGAAGAAGGUCUUCGGAUUGUAAAGAACUUUAAGUUGGGAGGAAGGGCAGUAAGUUAAUACCUUGCUGUUUUGACGGUACCAACAGAAUAAGCACCGGCUAACUUCGUG
rnacentral:rRNA from 1 species